GGAACAGAAGCCUAUCCAGAUUUAGGUAGACAUUGCCAACUCUCUGAUUGUCAUCAACUCGAUUUUCUCCCUUUUACCUGCCAUGCCUGUUUAAAGGUAUUUUGUGUGGAACAUAGAUCAUGCAAGUCUCAUGAAUGCCCAAAAUCUGACUUUAACAGCCGAAUCGUUUUGGUUUGCGAAAUUUGUUCUAUGUCCAUGGAAACUACCGGCUGUAAAGUUGAAGACCACAAAGCAAUAUUACAAAAACACGAGGAAUCUGGGGAUUGUGACCCUAAGAAGAAGAAGAAGAAACCUACCUGUCCUGUCAAAAGAUGCAAGGGGAUUUUGACCUUCUCAAACACUAGCACUUGCAAGAUAUGCCGGAUUCAAGUUUGCCUCAGACACAGGUUCCCUGCUGAUCACGCCUGUAACCGCACUUCUUCAUCAUCACAGCUGUUGCUAAAGGAACCCAAUAACAAGUUUUUGACUGCUUUGCUUGCAAGGAAUGGGAAAGAUUGUGGGAAUAAAAGUCGUGCCUCAUCUCCAAGCCCUGCGAACCCUUCUGUGAAAG
rnacentral:misc_RNA from 1 species